AUGUUUUUGGCAGGAUUCUUACUUCUAUCGGAGGAGGGUCUGAAGCUUUUGCUGAUGGAGAUGAGCAGGCUGGAAGGUAUGGGGGCCUUUGCAUUGAGAUACUUGUAUAUGAGGGCCUGGUGCUCCAGCUCCAUCCACUGUGAAGGAGUGAAGGGCAUCUUGCUCCUGGCCAGCAGCAGCCUCUGCUCAUUGGACCUGCCAAAAUCCAUACCUAGAUGCAAAAAAAGAAGAGGAAAACCCACUCAGCAUGAGCAAAAAUGCUCAGAGAAGCAGCAACCUUAUCUUGAAAAUAUCCAUGCGUGUAGUUAUUUAUUUGUUUCUUAUUAUUGCAGGCGCCGAGUCAAGACAAAAGUGUAG
rnacentral:rRNA from 1 species